rnacentral:rRNA from 1 species
GGGGAAAAAUUUAUUGCUAUUAGAUGAGCCUAUAUUAGAUUAGCUAGUUGGUGGAGUAAUAGCCUACCAAGGCAAUGAUCUAUAGCUGAUCUGAGAGGAUGAUCAGCCACACUGGAACUGAGAUACGGUCCAGACUCCUACGGGAGGCAGCAGUGGGGAAUAUUGGACAAUGGGCGAAAGCCUGAUCCAGCCAUGCCGCAUGAGUGAAGAAGGCCUUUGGGUUGUAAAGCUCUUUUAGUGAGGAAGAUAAUGACGGUACUCACAGAAGAAGUCCUGGCUAACUCCGUGCCAGCAGCCGCGGUAAUACGGAGAGGGCUAGCGUUAUUCGGAACUAUUGGGCGUAAAGGGCGCGUAGGCUGGUUAAUAAGUUAAAAGUGAAAUCCCGAGGCUUAACCUUGGAAUUGCUUUUAAAACUAUUAAUCUAGAGAUUGAAAGAGGAUAGAGGAAUUCCUGAUGUAGAGGUAAAAUUCGUAAAUAUUAGGAGGAACACCAGUGGCGAAGGCGUCUAUCUGGUUCAAAUCUGACGCUGAAGCGCGAAGGCGUGGGGAGCAAACAGGAUUAGAUACCCUGGUAGUCCACGCUGUAAACGAUGAAUGUUAAAUAUGGGAAGUUUACUUUCUGUAUUACAGCUAACGCGUUAAACAUUCCGCCUGGGGACUACGGUCGCAAGAUUAAAACUCAAAGGAAUUGACG